rnacentral:rRNA from 1 species
UAUGUGAUCGUCUCUCGCAUAUCAAUAAGCGGAGGAAAAGAAACUAACAAGGAUUCCCCUAGUAACGGCGAGUGAAGCGGGAAGAGCUCAAAUUUGAAAUCUUAAAGGGUUUCCCUUUACGAAUUGUAGUUUAAAGAAGUGUUUUCUGUUGAGGUUUUGGUAAAAGUUCUUUGGAAUAGGACAUCAUAGAGGGUGAGAAUCCCGUAUUUGACCUUUACUUUCAACUUUGUGAUACACUUUCAAAGAGUCGGAUUGUUUGGGAAUGCAGUCCAAAAUGGGUGGUAAAUUUCAUCUAAAGCUAAAUAUUGGCGAGAGACCGAUAGCGAACAAGUACCGUGAGGGAAAGAUGAAAAGAACUUUGAAAAGAGAGUUAAACAGUACGUGAAAUUGUCAAAAGGGAAGCGUUUGACACCAGUGUUGUUUUUCUGAAAAUCAAUUAAAGAACUGUUUAUGCUAAGCUGUUUAGACUUUAUCAGCUAACUGUUUAGUUUUGAGCUUUUCUUUAAUGCACUUUUCAGUUAACAAGUCAACAUCAAUUUCUUUUGCUGUAAAAAAGCUUGAGGAAGGUGGCUUGAGAUUCGUCUUAAGUGUUUGAUAGCCUCUUGCCUAUGCAGUCGGAGAGAUUGAGGUCUGCAGCGUAGAUCCUUCGGGGCUAAAUGCAUUUGUGCUAAGUUAUAGCAUUUUAUAGACAACUUGUUGACUAUGAUUUGUCUUGUAGCUUACUCGCUUAUGUUAUUUUACCUACGCUUAGGAUGUUGAGUAGCGACAUACGCAC